UAGAAAGAGAGCUUGGGAUCGAAGAUGUGUCCUGCUUUUAACAGCAGGUUUUCAUUUUAUUUAUUUAUUAUGAUUAUUUUUUUAUUUUUUAUGGUCAGUAUUUGUCUGACUUAACCUUCUCACUUUUUCUUAAGGAAUAGCAGUUGGCCAAGAAGACAAAAUGCCUUCUAGCUACAGACACUUGCCAUAGCUGUUGUGGUGUGCCUUGGAACGUGAUGCCCUCCACAGGUGGCAGCCUGCAGCAAAAACUUGGUUGGACCUGCAGAGAUACAGCAGACUUACAUCCCAGUGACAAGGGCUGGCACUUUGGAUUGCAACAUUACCAAAACGAAAAGCAUGAACACUACAAGAAUUUCUGCUCUAUGGAAAAAUGUUAUUUUUGGAUUCUUCAGGAAGGCGUGCAUAUAAAACCACUGGCUCCCUGGUGAGUGAGUAGUCCUUGAGACCAGCAGAACUUUCGUCUUAAUUUUUGGUUGUGGUAGGUGAUGUCAUAGUUGGACGUACAUUGACAUUAAGCUGCAACUGGCAUCUUUGUGACACAAGCCUUCAUGUUUUUCUGUUAAGCACUUACAGCAACUGAUUUCUUACAGCAGGACUGAUGGAAUUAGUCUUUUUGUCCCUUUUUCGUGUGUCAUCUACCACCUGUGUGUCCUUGCAUCAGUAUUACAUUGUUUCAGUAAUUUGCCCUGCCUGAUUGACCUUACAGUUUCUAAAGUGGCAAAUGUUAGAAAGGACUGCCCUUUUGUUCAUUAGCACUGAAGGGCAUGCAUUCAGAGCAAGCAGAUUUGGGAUGUAAUCUUGCUUCCAGUGGGAGGUGUCAGUAUCUUGUCUGUGCUGCAUGGAGAUUCCCAUGAAAUCUCAAGUUUCUGUGGUUUUCCUUUUCAUGCUGAUGGAACUUGCACAUGUUUGUGUGCGGAUAAGGGACUUGUUUGAAGAUGUUUUUCAGUUUGAAUCAGGAAAAUGUCUUGUCCUCUAACUGCUGGUAGGACUGUAUUGCUGUGUUAGUAAAAACACCUUCAUCACUAGGUUUUAUUUAGGAAAACAUUUAUCCAUCAAUAUUAUUUGUAUACAGGGAGGCAAUCUGUGUGAUUUGGCAAAUGGCUUAACAUUCUGUUUUUCUUCUAGUCAAGAAUAUUACUCUUGCUAUAUCUAAUCUAGAGUUGUAAAUUGCAGUAGAGGUACAAAUCCAAAACAAACAUUUUGAAGAAUUUGAAUGGAGUAGAGCCCCAAUUUCCAUUUCAACACUCUCUCUGUUGUCCGAUUUGUUAAACUCAAGUGGUCCCAUGUGCGAGUAGCAUGACUGCCAGAAGUGCUCUGCAGCCAUCUGCUUUUUUGGUAAGUCUUUGAUUAUUUCUUUGUCUAUAUUUCUGUCCGAAAUUAGAACUGGCAACUCAAUUGGUUGGUUAAUAUUGGGUUUUUUAUAAUUUAACAUUUCCAACUUAUGGCUAGGAAAUAGCAGCAAGGUAAUAAAAAGCACAAGAAAUAAACUUUCCUACUGAAG
rnacentral:lncRNA from 1 species